rnacentral:snoRNA from 1 species
UACUCGGGUAUAGUCAGGUGUCUGCCUUAUUUAAUUAGCUUAACACAGUUACAUGCCCGGGAUAUGUAAUCUGCUCAUCGUUACACGUAUUGCUUCUCGUAAUGCUACUAUGUGUUCCAUUUGGGCAGUAUAUUG